UACGAAGGUCCCGAGCGUUAUCCGGAUUUAUUGGGCUUAAAGGGUGCGUAGGCGGCUCAUUGCGUCAACCGUGAAAACCAGCAGCUCAACUGUUGGCUUGCGGUUGAUACGGGUGGGCUGGAGUUCGGUAGGGGAGACUGGAAUUCCUGGUGUAGCGGUGAAAUGCGCAGAUAUCAGGAGGAACACCGGUGGCGAAGGCGGUUCUCUGGGCCUGACCUGACGCUGAGGAGCGAAAGCGUGGGGAGCGAACAGG
rnacentral:rRNA from 1 species